UGGGACUAAGACAUGCGAGUUGUGCGUCUCAAAGCCAUGGUAGAGACGCGGCGUACGGCUCAGUAACAUGUGGCUAACCUACCCUUAGGACGGAGACACCCCGGGAAACUGGGGCUAAUACCCGGUAGAUUAGGAGGCCUGGAAUGGUUUCUAGUCGAAAAGGCGUUGAAACCAUGCUUUUCGACGUCGCCUAAGGAUGGGGCCGCACCUGAUCAGGUUGUUGGUGGGGUAACGGCUCACCAAGCCUAUAACCGGUACGGGCCGUGAGAGCGGGAGCCCGGAGAUGGGCACUGAGACAAGGGCCCAGGCCCUACGGGGCGCAGCAGUCGCGAAAACUCCGCAAUGCGCGAAAGCGUGACGGGGCUACCCCGACUGCCGUCCGCUGAGGAUGGCUUUUCCCCGGUGUAAUGAGCCGAGGGAAUAAGGAGAGGGCAAGACUGGUGUCAGCCGCCGCUGUAAUACCAGCUCUCCGAGUGGUAGGGAUGAUUAUUGGGCU
rnacentral:rRNA from 1 species